rnacentral:rRNA from 1 species
AUUGAACGCUGGCGGCAGGCCUAACACAUGCAAGUCGAACGAGUGGCGGACGGGUGAGUAAUGUCUGGGAAACUGCCCGAUGGAGGGGGAUAACGAAGGGAAACGGUAGCUAAUACCGCAUACCAUCGGAUGUGCCCAGAUGGGAUUAGCUAGUAGGUGGGGUAACGGCUCACCAAGGCGACGAUCCCUAGCUGGUCUGAGAGGAUGACCAGCCACACUGGAACUGAGACACGGUCCAGACUCCGACGGGAGGCAGCAGUAGGGAAUAUUGCGCAAUGGGCGCAAGCCUGAUGGAGCCAUGCCGCGUGUAUGAAGAAGGCCUUCGGGUUGUAAAGUACUUUUGGCGAGGAGGCGUUACUCGAAGAAGAAGCACCGGCUAACUCCGUGCCAGCAGCCGCGGUAAUAC